UUUAAUGAUAUACCUUGAUAUGUAUCUUAUAUGAUGAAAUGUUUGGUAUGGGAGUUAUAUAGGUCAUUGGAUUGAGUGUUAGAUAGAAUAAGAGAUGUUUAUGGAGUUUUCUUGUAAGAGAAUUAAAGAGGAUAGUACAGAUCUAAACGGUUCAUAUGCAAGAGAAGUUUAUGUUAUAAUUAUGAGAUUAAAGUGCUAGCAGAUUAAGGAAGAAUAAAUGAAGUCGGAAAAAUAUUAUGAGAUUUGUAAUUAUUUAAUUCAAGUGAAUUUCGAGGACGAAAUUCUUUAAGGGGGGUAGAACU
rnacentral:lncRNA from 1 species